GACCCACUCAAAUGAAAAUUGUGUUUUGGUGUCUUUAACAUGUCUUUGCUGCAUUUUUCUCGUGAUGGAGGACAAAUAAAAAAAAUUAAUCCUAAAAUUACAUUUCUGAUCAUAUCUUUAUUCAAAUCAUUGUGAAUCAGGAGCAGACAAAAGCUGCAUUUGAAAAAAGCUUGUAGUUGUUACGUAAUAGCUACAAUCGGCAGGCCACAAGCUUCCUGCUCCUGCUCCAGUCCUGACUACAACUCAGAGGAGAACUUUUUUUGAUGAACUUCUGCUCUGCAGAAACAAACCACGCCACAUUUAUUUAUUUUUUGUAUAGUAGCUAAAAACUGCAUAAUCUUAAUUAAAAGACUACUGGGAACGCUAUUAAAAUAGAUCAAUGGAUGAUUUGAGUGGAACGUUAACCGUGUUGGAGAACAAAACAGAGUGAUCUCAGCAGACAAACCAAUCAGACUCUUGUAUGGUACAGGGUAACGUGGGAUUUGGUGCUUGGCCCAAGGACACAUCAGCAAGAAGACUGCCAAGGCCAGGACCCAAACUCACCACUUUCUGAUAAGCAGGGGAGUGAUUACUGCCUUCAAGCUUCCCCCUGUAUACUUUCAAAAGCCUCUGCGUUUUACUGAUGUUGAUAUCAGCAUCCACGCUGAUCAAGGUUUAAAUAGGAGGAAGUAGCUUGCAAAACCCUUAACGAUAACCAAAAAGGUCGUCAAACCUAAGAAGAGUAGCUUAACAUUUUGAGAAAUGUGUUCAGGAAAAACUGUUUUCAAAUGAAAAAAGGAUCCUCUUUCUGAAGAAUUUUCAAGAGGCUUGAUGACACAAUACUUCCAUUUCUUUUUUUAGGAAAUGUUGGGACAGAGGUUGUGUCAUGUGAUCUGCUGGUUUGUGUUAACUUAAUUUGACGUCAAAAUGUCAGCUCUGUGUUCUUCACCAUUUGGACAGGAAAUUAUGUCAUCAAAUGUUGACCUUUGAUCUAGACAAAACAUUGACCUUUGAGACUUGAAUCCAGAAAAAAAGCCAUAUUUGCAUUUUAAAUAAUUUCCGACAGUACAGAUGUGCCUGGCUGAGGUUGGAGCCACGCACUAAGGCAAUCUUAGACCUAAUAAUUGGAUGCUCACCUGUCAAUCAAAAGGAUACACUUUUAUUGUAAUUCAUUUGACCUAAAAUGUAAAAUAAAUUCACAAAGUUCUGUUAAAUGUAUCCAAAUUACAAUAAUUUUGGGAACAAACUCUCUUAGAGGGCCAAACCUUGCCCUAAAGAGAAUGAUGACUUAUCUGAUUGUG
rnacentral:lncRNA from 1 species